AUUGAACGCUGGCGGCAUGCCUUACACAUGCAAGUCGAACGGCAGCGGGGGAGAAGCUUGCUUUUCCUGCCGGCGAGUGGCGAACGGGUGAGUAAUACAUCGGAACGUGCCCUGUAGUGGGGGAUAACUAGUCGAAAGAUUAGCUAAUACCGCAUACGACCUGAGGGUGAAAGCGGGGGACCGCAAGGCCUCCUGCUAUAGGAGCGGCCGAUGUCUGAUUAGCUAGUUUGUGGGGUAAAGGCCUACCAAGGCGACGAUCAGUAGCUGGUCUGAGAGGACGAUCAGCCACACUGGGACUGAGACACGGCCCAGACUCCUACGGGAGGCAGCAGUGGGGAAUUUUGGACAAUGGGCGAAAGCCUGAUCCAGCAAUGCCGCGUGUGUGAAGAAGGCCUUCGGGUUGUAAAGCACUUUUGUCCGGAAAGAAAUGGCUCUGGUUAAUACCUGGGGUCGAUGACGGUACCGGAAGAAUAAGGACCGGCUAACUACGUGCCAGCCGCCGCGGUAA
rnacentral:rRNA from 1 species